ACUGCAGCGCCUGCCGACCUCGGGGCCCCGCCCUCUGCCUUCGCUCGCGCCGCUCUCCUUCAGUCUCCCCAGGGCCUGUUUCAUGGAUAGGGUCCCCUUGCCCGCGUGAAAGUCUCAUUCCUCCUCAGCUCAGAAACACUCCAAGGUGCGGGGACUCGUGGAAGGAUUUGAUUCGCGCUUGAGAAAGAUCGCUCCGCUCCUGUAAGGAAGAGAGCGUGUAGGGGCUGCAACCAGAGACACAGUCAGAAGCUCCGAGGCUACCGCGAUGGUCCAGGACACAGCCUAACAGAGGCCCAGGUUGGAGCCAUGGACCAUGGAGUCAUGAGAAUGGAAGGGAAGCUGACGCCAUGUGGGAUGGGGUAGAACUGUCCGCAAAUUCGUCCCGCCUCUGGAGUCUUCAGACCAGUCAAGGCCGAAAUUCAACCAAGCCUCUCCUCUCUCUAGCUGUUAUUUGUUUGCAGCACGCGGUCUGGUGGCACCCUGCAGGAUUUACCAGCUUUUUGCCAACAUUCUGGCCUAUGCAAUCAAUACGUCCCUUCAGCGUUGCACUUGGAUGGAUUGGACCUAUAGUUGUUAUAUAUGGAUAUUGUCUAAUUUAUUUAUUACAGUAUUAACUGACUCCUAUGUUCUGGCCUUCAGAAUUUCUCCUUUGGAUCAAUUACUAGCCUGUCUUACAUUUUCUGCUUCAUUCUUUUAAAAUGUUUAGAGAUGAUUUGCUAAGUUUUCUUCAUUGCUGUCAAUGAUGCAAUUUAAACUGUCAAAAAAAUUUUUUCUCAAGCAGGGUAGUAAUGGUGAACCAUUCCCUUGCUAUUCAGACAGCAUGGUUUAGAUGAGGCGCACCUAUCCCCAGCUUUAGGAAUGGAAACAGGACCCAAGUCUGGCUAAUCAGAGACUGGUUUAGGGUCGGCCCCAUGGUCUGAGCCAGACCAAUGAGAAUUGGUAGAGGGACUUCCUUUUGCAACUUCUAUUUUAGAAUCGGGGGUAUAUAUGCAGGCUUGUUACAGAGGUAUAUUGCAUGGUGCUGAGGUUUGGAGUAUGAACGAAUCCGUCCUUCAGGUAAUGAGCAUAGUACCCAAUAGGUAGUUUCAACCCUUGCCCCCUUCCUCCUUCCCCAGUCUUGUAUUCCCCAGUGUCUGUUGUUCCCAGACAUUGAUCUUUUUCCUCUAUGUUGCUAAGCUGGUAGAAAGGCUGGAGUUGCUGGCAACCAUCUUUGCAACCAUGCAGGGAGAACUACUUUGGAAAUGAAGCAAGAUAAAGAAGAAAACAGAUAAAAGGAGACAAAUGUUUGACUUUGUACAGCUGGAAACCAGCAAUGCUGGAAAUGAGCACUGAAGGCAGUUUAAUGGGUUUGUCACUUGUAACCAAGUGACCCAUGGCAAGCUCACAGAUUUGUAUUGGCAGAAUUCCUCCUUUUCUUUAUUUAAAAUGGUACUUUUGGCCAGGCAAGGUGGUUCACACCUGUAAUCCAAAGACUUUGGGAGGCCGAGGCGCACUGAUCACCCAAGGUCAGAAGUUCGAGAACAGCCUGGCCAACAUUGGCGAAACCCCAUCUCUACUAAAAAUACAAACCAUUAGCUGGCUGCGGUGGCCUUUCUACCAGCUUUUUGUCUCAAAAAAAAAAAAAAAAAAGGUACUUUUGCUUAUCUCUAACCUUCCUCUUCCCCAUAAUUUAACAGUUGCCCAUACUAUCUGUUACUCUGAGCUACUCUCUGCCCCAUUCUCCUCCUCUUAUCUUCAGUUCCUCCUAGGCUGUCAGAGCCAUCUGAAAUGAAAACAUUUAGGCCGGGCAUAGUGGUUCAUGCCUGUAAUCCCAGCACUUUGGGAGGCUGAGGCAGGCGGAUCAGCUGAGGUCAGGAGUUCAAGACCACCCUGGUCAACAUGGUGAAACCCCAUCUCUACUAAAAAUACAAAAAUUAUCCAGACAUGGUGGCACAUGCCUCUACUCCCAGCUACUUGGGAGGCUGAGGCAGGAGAAUCGCUUGAACCUAGGAGGCAGGGGUUGCAGUGAGCCGAGAUUGAGCCACUGCACUCUAGCCUGGGCGACAGAGUGAGACUUUGUCUAAAAAACAUAAAUAAAAUAAAAUGAAAUGAAAACAUUUGCUACUUGAAAUCCUUCAGAUUCCCCAUCGCCUACCUACAGGCAAAACUCUCAAGUUCUUUUGUAUGAUUUAACCACUAUCUACCUGUCCAACUGAAAUCUACCCUUCAGUAAUAUUAUACUUGCACCUCCCUUCAUAAGCUAUGCUACAAGUUUGGUUAUGCAGUUGCCCACCUUUUAAGGUUCAAGCCUUGUCUUCUCCAAAGAGCCACCUCUGACUGCCUCACAGUAAGCUUAGGGCCCGCAACUUACCUGUAACUUUUGUUGCACUUAUGGCCUUUUACAACUAUCAAUUUAUGUAUGUGUCUGUUCUCACUGGUUUAUAAGCUCCCUGAGGACAGAGCCUUGCUUGAGUCAUCUGUCAGCAGCCCAAUAUGGGACAAAAAGUGCAUGCAUUGUAAUUACUGAACAGAACUGAUAGAGGCUCAGCAAUUUGCGCUCCAUAGGUCUAAGUUUGAACUUUUCUAGAAAAGGAUUUGCAGGACGAUCUGACGAAUCUUGGGCUUCCAAAUUAGUUCCAACAGUUCUAGUAUUUUUUUUUUUUUUUGACAGAAGCAAAUAAGUAAGUUUUACUUUGUGAUUAAAACAAAAGUGAAAUGCAUUUAGUCCCAGGAAAUGUCAAUCCUUUCUGCAUCUUACUUUUUUUUGCUGUGACCUCGAGAUUCUCUUGUUCUCUUCAGUUGUAUUGGUCCAUGAUCACUCAUAGCUUUCAUACACAUAUAUACAUCUGAAACUCAGAAAAUUCAUUAGGUAGGAACUCUUUGGAUGCAUCUCCUUUUUUAACCUCAUUGGGAUGAUUUUUCGUUGCACCAUCAUUUUAUAGAGCUUCCUAGCACUGCUGAGCAUGCAGAAUUUUUGCAAAUGCAAUCCAGAGAAACAGACUUGCUAUAUACUAGCUAUUUGAACUUGUCUGAGCUUAUGUGGCAUGGUCUAAAGAAUACUGAAAUAUUUCUGGCAUACCUCUUAAUUGCAGUCACUUUCUCCAGGUUGCUUUAUGGAUUAAAUGAGAUAACCUACUAAAGGACUCCAGUAAAAAGCUAAAAAGGUAGCUAGCUUUUGAGGUGUUGUGGCAGACUGGCAUCUAGUGGCCAGCGAUAAAGGUGCAGACUAGUGUCCACACCUAAGUGGGGACAGUGCAGGCUGUAAUGUCCAUACCUAGUGGGGACAUCAAUGGGGUAUUUGUCAGAGAAGCUCCAUGGCAUAGUUUGGACAUUGUUUCUGGCUGUGCAGGUUCAAACCCAGAGUCUGGCUCUCCCAAAGAUUAUCUGAGUUAUUCUAUUAUUUUACAAAGUUUGAAAUAGCCAUUAGAUACCCUUACAAACUUAUCAUUUUUGUGAUUGAUUUUAAGUCUACUGAAAAUGUCAAAAGAAAUCCAAAACUGAUUGCUAGUAACUAGGCCAGGUGUGGUGGCUCACACCUGUA
ensembl:lncRNA BOLA3-DT BOLA3 divergent transcript